rnacentral:snRNA from 1 species
GGAUGUGAGGGCGAUCUGGCUGCAACAUCUGUCACCCCAUUGAUCGCCAGGGUUGAUUUGGCUGAUCUGGCUGGCAAGGCAGGUGUCCCCUUCCUCCCUCACCGCUCCAUGUGCGUCCCUCCCAAAGCUGCGCACUCAGUGGAAGAGGACGACGUCCCAGAUAUAGAAGGAGUGUACUGAGGUCUCCAGUCUUCGGUCCUGGGUAUACAAUGAGAUUGCUUUUAUUCUUUAGUAAGGUAGAACAAUCUCAUCCAUCCACUUUCCUUCUUUGAUUUAAAGGAAUCUAAAUAUACUAAUUUAUUUUGCAACCUCAUUUGGAUGGUUGAAACA